AUUCUGUAUAGACGCUGUGCCUUCGAGCGUACAGCAGCAAAUCGACGAAGACGUGGAAACGUACGUUAUAUUCCUUGGACUCUCUAGUAUGACAGGAAACUUUGGAGUAUCUACAUGGAAUAUCAUAUAGAUGUUUCGGCAAACGGUGGCGUUCGAGCAGCAGGCGACUUCUAGAGCGAGGCCGUACGGUGAACUCUGUUAUCGUCAGAGCCAGUUAUGAUUAUCGAACGUGAGCCUUUGCUGACGCUGUAUCUCGUUUCUCGUGAACCUGAACGAACCAACAAUGCGAUGGACGUAUCGACACCGUGGAGGGCGACCAGUAGCCUGGCCUCUCCAGUGAGGCAAAGCGGUGAGAUCAGAAACACUGGCAGCCGCAAGCGACAUUGCGCAGUUUGCUAACCGUGCACUGCUCCAAGGCUGUGGUGCGCGUCGGGAUCAACACGAACACCGAGACGGAACCGUUUUGGCGUCGUGGCUGCUUUCUAACGUUGGAGCUUGCAGUCGGCUGGAGAGGUCGAGUGAACGCAGCGCGGGCCGAGCGGUGCACUAGGUUCCUGUCGUGGUUCAGCGUGCGGACGUGUUGAGGCUGUUGUUCAAGUACGAUGGAGCUUGAACCACUCAAGUUUAGGACUCACGAGCGUUCGUUACUGCUACAGAUACCCUGCCCCCCGUCGGCUACUUGAGAUUGUGCUCUGUUCUAACGCUACCGGGUGCCGAGACCUUGCGAUGACGCGGGGUCGCUCUGGAGGGCGUCUGCUCGCUAGCGAUCCCCUAGAAUAGAGGUUCUGUCCCGUACCUACGCCUGUGAGUGCCUGCUUUAGGUUAGGCGGCCUCGCUAGACCUUUGCGAUCGCCCAGUGCCGUAGCUCGACAAGUUUCCUAUUUUGUUUUCCUGAUGGUACGCCUUCGGGGGAUAUGUACAGCCCAUCUGGAUAUAGGAACGCAUAUGUCAGCGAACUUUAUGCAAGCAGCGAAACUCGCGUCACAGGCUGCUGGGGCGAGUUCAGUUGGAGCUCAUUUCCCUGAAUUCCUGACAGCGAUAGCGCAAUUCACUGGCAGGAGCAUGAAUGGUGUAGUUCUUCGCGGGUGCCAGUCGUAGUUGACGAAUCGUCGAUGGUAUCCCUGCAGGUAACGUUUUCGUUUAGGAUAGAAACGUUUUCAAUGCUCUUUGAGGUGACGAGCCACACCCGUGUCGCAGUGAAUGAGAACACCGAACUUCUCGUUCCGUUCCUGUAUUUCGAUUUUUCCCUGAAGUUUUCCUUCGGUAUGUCGCCUUGAAAAUAGAAGAGUAACAAGGAGGGUCAACUUAUUUAGACUUAUUUUCAUGGUUCUCGGUCGUCUUUUCGGAGUUGGUCCCUCAUAUCGUUGCCGCCGAAGCUCAUUUGGGUACAGGAAUCAAGAUGAUCCGGGAUGCCAUCGAACAUGCGUUUGAGGAAAAACUGAUAGUGUUAUCUAGUCCAUGUGUACAUGCCUCCUUCCCUCUCCUGCCCUUAGGCGGUGUAUGCCUAGAUCACGCAUUCUUAAAAUUCUCGAUCUUCCCGUUUCGAGACGAGUUGUGAGCGCGCCUACUCGAGCCACUGAACUUAAGGCUUUUCACAAGCGUACACUGAAAAUCCAUUGUAGUUGUCACGUCAAAGUAUCAAUGCUGAUCGAAAUACAAAUCCACCGCCCUUUGUAUCCAUCAAAGAAACGCCAUUCGACAGCAGCAUAGCAUUUGCGACGGGAUAUGCUUACAGAUGCUCCCAUCUCUUCUGCUCUUUUUGCAUGGAAAAGAUUCUUGGAGCCAAACUCUGGUCAUCGUAGAGAUCGCGUCAUGUGAAGCGCGUGUCGCUCCGUCUUAGAAAAGGAAUGUGCACGAAUGACAGUUUCUAGAUUUGUUCUCUGGCCUGGAUUUUCCUGCCGAUAUUUUUUUCAUCUCGGACAAGACUGCGUUCCACAAAUUCUCUUUCGAAUGGAAAUCGCGCGCUUCUCCGUGCAGCCGUCAGCGUACGCAUUGAGAAGAUCUCAAAGAAGGAGCCCGUGAUCUUAGGGUGCCGAACCGGAUGCGGAAAUGGAGAAAAGCAUCAAGGGUUGCCAUCUGUCCUCGACAAGGGCAUAAACCUAGC